UACAUGGGGUGCAAACGUUGCUCGGAAUUAUUGGGCGUAAAGCGCGCGUAGGCGGUUACUUAAGUCGGAUGUGAAAGCCCUCGGCUUAACUGAGGAAGUGCACCCGAAACUGAGUAGCUAGAGUACGAAAGAGGGUCGCGGAAUUCCCGGUGUAGAGGUGAAAUUCGUAGAUAUCGGGAGGAACACCAGUGGCGAAGGCGGCUCACUGGCCCGGUACUGACGCUGAGGUGCGAAAGCGUGGGGAGCAAACAGG
rnacentral:rRNA from 1 species